GGCUUUCUUUGCGGCGGAGCUCGACCGCCCACGCAGGUGAUCGUCGCGUUCAUCGACGAUCACCGUGAUCGCUGGGGUGUCGAGCCGAUCUGCACCGUCCUCACCGAGGCCGGCUGCCCGAUCGCCCCC
rfam:Gordonia malaquae NBRC 108250 DNA, contig: GM1089.